UGCCGGGUCGUCUAACGGUAGGACAGCGCCCUUUGGAGGCGUUUGCGUAGGUUCGAAUCCUGCCCCGGCAG
rnacentral:tRNA from 1 species